AUGUCUUCCCUCAGAGUGUGCACAGCUGGUCCAGAGUCCCUCUCUUGCCUAAUUAAGGGACCUUAUUCUGCUCACGCUCAGAGCUGCUGCCUGUGUGCUGGUCUGGAAGCUAACGUCAAACCCAUGUGGCCAGAAAACGCCUCUAGAGAUUCCACUCACACCACAGUCAUUUCCACGUGCUGGAAUCCAGCCCACCUUGAGGUCCAUCUCAAAGGACUCCUUCUCCCUGGAGUGACACAGCUCACAGUGCUCUCGCUGCCCUGACUGUUGGGGUGAAGGCAAAAUAAAAACAGAGAAGGAAACA
rnacentral:lncRNA from 1 species